rnacentral:rRNA from 1 species
UACGGAGGGUGCGAGCGUUGUCCGGAAUCACUGGGCAUAAAGGGCGCGUAGGCGGCUCCAAAAAGUCAGGGGGUGAAAUCCGGCAGCUUAACUGUCGCAGUGCCUUUGAUACUGUGGAGCUAGAGGGAUGUAGGGGUCUGUGGAACUUCCGGUGGAGCGGUGAAAUGCGUUGAUAUCGGAAGGAACGCCGGUGGCGAAAGCGACGGACUGGACAUUUUCUGACGCUGAGGCGCGAAAGCCAGGGGAGCAAACGGG